GCAAUAGAACUCUGGUUUUCCAGCCAGCCCGAAGCGUGAUCUCUGAGGUGCAGACGGUUGGGUUCCCCCAUCUCAGACCUAACCGUGGCUGCAGGAUUAUUAAAGGGCCAGGACUGUAAUGUUAUUUGAAGCCAGAGUAACUCCUAUACGAAUUAAAUGGCCACAAAAUAUCCAGCUGAGAACCCGUGAGGAAUGCGAGUGCCCUGAGGUUCCAGCUCUUCCGCAAGGCCAGUGGAAAGAGAUAUUUGACCAGGAAGAAUCAUCUGUAGCUGACUCCAUCUAGGUCCUAUGAGGAUGCAAGUCCCUCCUAAAGUUACCUAGUGGCACAACGUGGUGCUCAGCCUGCCACAUCCGACAAACUUUUGGUUACCAGUCCCUACAGGACUGCCUUCAAUCUCAACCACUUUAAAUACCUAAGAAUCUGCCCCUGGUUGUACACUGAGCCAAGUGUACACAUGCAGUGCAGACAUGCUCAUAGCUACCUUCCUCACUAUGGAGGUGCCGAGUCAAUGCAUUCCCAGCAAGCUGCACGCCCAGCAAGCGUGGAUUCAAUAAGCAUAAACAUAGGAACGCCACCAUUCUGUAUGGCUAAUUCAUUUAAAAAAAAAAAAAAUCUCUAGAAAGGCACAGCACGUUGCUAGCAGUGUGCUGCUGUGGAGCUGAUAGAAGUCUUGUAGUCACAUUAUCAGAAAGACAGUGUAAGGACCAGACAGAAAAAAAAUGUCUCCUCAGACCUCACUGUUGCAUGAAGCAUUCCAGCUACAGUGACAACCUACCGCUCCCUUCAGUGUUUAUACUUAUCCUGUCUUGUUCUAUCCUGUAUUGUUCUAACUCCAAACUGGAAACCAUUCAAGACUGAGAUCUCUCUCUCUGUGUUUUUGGCACAACACUCCUAUAGCCUGUAGACUCUCUAUGCUAUGUAAAUAAUAUUGGCUACAAGCCACCCUUACGAUGUGAUGCCACGUAAUUAAUACUGGUCUCAAGGCACAUAGAGAAAUCCCAGGGAUGUCAGUGGACUCUGUGCUUAGGCAGAAGGUGGCAUAUGGCCUUGAGGUUGUGACCUAGGAGGCAGCAGAUAAUACUCAAAAAUGCCCAUUUACAAAGCACUGUACAAACAUUAGUAUCGCCCAUAUCUUCUACCCCAUCGGGUUAGGUCACUAAAUAUUAUGAUCUCCAUUUUCAAGAAGGAGAAGCUAAGGUGCAGAGACAUGAAAUGACUUUCCCAAAGGCCACACAGCGAGUCAGUGGCAGAGCUGUGUGGAGUCGGUAGAGCUCAGUGAUACCUGAGUCCCAGCCCUGUGCUUAAUCCACACUAGACCCCACUGCCUCUUUAAAAGAUGAAAGUCCUCUUGACUUUUAUACCACCUACUGUGGAGGGAGCUCUCCUGACUCAUGUGUUCUGAUUACAAACCCUUGGACAUUUUGAAUAGUAGAACGCACCUUCUGUG